rnacentral:rRNA from 1 species
AGCAGCCGCGGUAAUUCCAGCUCCAAUAGCGUAUAUUAAAGUUGUUGCAGUUAAAAAGCUCGUAGUUGAAUUUCGGGAUCGAUACGUCGGUCGUGCCUUCGGUACGCACUGGCGUUUAUCGAUUUCUCCCUUCUGACGAUCCAUGAUGUCAUUAAUUUGGUGUUAUGGGGAAUCAGGACUGUUACUUUGAAAAAAUUAGAGUGUUUAAAGCAGGCAUUAGCUUGAAUACAUUAGCAUGGAAUAAUGAAAUAGGACGUUCGAACCUAUUUUGUUGGUUUCUAGGAUCAACGUAAUGAUUAAUAGGGAUAGUUGGGGGCAUUAGUAUUCAAUUGUCAGAGGUGAAAUUCUUGGAUUUAUUGAAGACUGACUACUGCGAAAGCAUUUGCCAAGGAUGUUUUCAUUAAUCAAGAACGAAAGUUAGGGGAUCGAAGACGAUCAGAUACCGUCGUAGUCUUAACCAUAAACUAUGCCGACUAGGGAUCGGAUGAUGUUAAUUUUUUAAUGACUCAUUCGGCGCCUUACG